rnacentral:rRNA from 1 species
GCUCGUGCCGUGAGGUGUUGGGUUAAGUCCCGCAACGAGCGCAACCCCUAUCCUCUGUUGGUCCGCAAGGAUCUCUCUGAGGAAACUGCCAGCGAUGAGCUGGAGGAAGGUGGGGAGUGACGUCAAGUCAUCAUGGCCCUUACGUCCAGGGCGACACACGUGCUACAAUGGCAGCUACAGAGGGUCGCAAUACCGCGAGGUGGAGCCAAUCCCUAAAAGACUGUCUCAGUUGGGAUCGGAGUCUGCAACUCGACUCCGUGAACGCGGAAUCGCUAGUAAUCGUGGAUCAGCCAUGCCACGGUCGAAUACGUUCCCGGGCCUU